UACGGAGGGGGCUAGCGUUGUUCGGAAUUACUGGGCGUAAAGCGCACGUAGGCGGUUUCUUAAGUUUGGAGUGACAGUGGGUGGCUUAACUACCCAAGGCCUCUGAAAACUGGGGAACUUGAGGACCAGAGAGGGACAUAGAAUUCCGGGUGGAGUGGUGAAAUGCGUAGAUAUCUGCAGGAACACCCGUGGCGAAGGCGGCUCGCUGGACCGCAACUGACGCUGAGGAACGAAAGCUAGGGGAGCAAACAGG
rnacentral:rRNA from 1 species